ensembl:lncRNA
GGAACAAUGUCAAAGGCCUUACAGAAAUCCAGGUAGAUGACAUUUGUUGGUCUUCCCUUGUCAACUGAUGCAGUCACUCCACCACAGAAGGCCACCAGAUUGGUCAGGCACAAUUUGCCCUUGGUGAAGCCGCGCUAGCUGUCUCAGAUCACCUCCUGGUCUUGCACUUGCCUUGACAUUGCUUCCAGGAGGAUCUGGCCUGGCUGUGUGAAGGGGCCAUGAUACUGUCAUGGCUGCGGUGUCACAGCCACGUGCAGAGACUGAAUAUCUUUCCCUGUCCUCACUCUGAUCUACUGCAUCUCUUUUAAUCUUUCUGGGCCCUUCAAUCCACCACAGAGGACCUGGUCACAUUUGCUGAAAUACUAGACUGGGUCAGCAUUGAUUCAAGCGUGUCAGGCACCUACACACUACUGAGAGCGGCCUGUUGGUUGUCAGUGAGGACUAGGAGACACCAUUUAGGCCUGUGAAGCAUCAGCCCUAUCUUUGAUGAUGUUAUAGGUGGUUUCUGAGUUCAAGAAUCCUUGAGAAUGAGCCUAUCUCUGUAGAUAUUGAUUAUGUCAAGGUCAUGCAUUGCUCAGACUUACAUCAGCUGUUGCUCAGAGGAAGUUCAUCAUUCAAGUGCAGGACCCAUGAAGAAAGUGAAUGCUGAAUAGAUCUACCCAAACUGAAGAGAACCGGAUGGAGAGAGGGAUGACACCCUGCUUCAGAGGAAACUACAGCCUGAUGGUUCAAGGCAUUCUCCAAAGAAAGUUGCAUAGGAAGAAGAUAAACUCCACUCUUAGCUACUGAGUAAAAAGCAGGGUUUUUUUGUUUGUUUGUUUGUGUUUUGUUGUUUGUUUUUGUUUUGUUUUCCAGUAGAAAAUGCCUGAAAAGGUAUUUUGCCCUUGUGAGAAGGUGAGAAUCCAGUGUCAGAAUCCCCAAAAUGUCUGGAGGAGGAAAUAGCUCACCUAGUUAAGAUCAGAGUGUUUCUGAACGUGCCUAGAUAUGGAGACUUAUGUGGGUGAUCUGCUUUGAACAGGUGACUGACUGCCUGUGGACUUCAAGGCCUUUUGUGUUAGAGCUCGGGUGCAUAGAGAUUUUUCCAUACCUGGCUUGCCCCGAGGCCAUGUGGAUUCCUCUGGAACUUUUCAGCAGGCUGGUAGAUCUGUCGGUAUUUCAAAAGCAGUUUCAAAAUGGCUCCAAAGGUGAUAUUGAAGAUAAUUAUGCCCAGCUGGGAUUAGAUUUUCAGAAGACGUCUCAAAACCUUGCCUUUUCUGGUUCACUUUAACUAGCUCUGCGGGCCUGCUGCUGCUGUGUUUCACAUUUGUUGGAGGCAGCACAUCUGUCCUUUUGGAAGUCAGUGCCGCAUGUGUCAAACCGAGAACAGAAACUUCCAGAGUGUGUCGAUUUGUUGACAGGCCAGUGUGCAACUGGAGAUGAUAACUCAGAUAUAAAAAUAACCAUCUGAAUUCUCGUCCUUCGAGUCGUAUCAGAUACACUCAUUCUGCGAUGAGGCUUUUCCUGUGCAAGUCCUUAAGUCACUGAUCUCCAGAAGGUGUUGAAAAGAUUUUCUGAGAGGAUACCUAAGGGUCCUAUUUUCUCUUAAGCGUAAUUCCUCCCGAUUAAUGAGGGUUGUAGGUCCAGGACUGAUGACAAUUUGGGUUCUGAGUGCUUAAAGAAGAAUCGAGCACAGCACUCACCACAGUGCCCUCUGUAGUCUGCUGGAUAAGCAUUGUUUCCAGCCUUGUUCCUGAGCACCAGUGUGCACCUCAGCUCCACAUCUGUAAAAUAUGGCACUUGCUCAUCUUUGAAAGUGCUCUGGGAUCUAGGAUGGGAGAUGUGGGAUGCACACUAAACAGGGAAGUAAACUGCUCUUGGUUCUUUGCAAACAGAAGAUUGACCAAGUCUCUACCUCAAAUAAAACAAAAAUAAAUAAAUAGAAAUGAUUAACU